AACUUCAAAAAACCCCCUGUGGUUUUGCAUUUUUCAUUUUAGUACCCUAUGGUUAAAAGUGUAUCAAGUUAGUAUCCUGUUGUUUCUCACUUUAUCACUUUAGUACCCUAUGGUUUAAAGUGUAUCAAAUUGAUACUCUGUGGUUUUAUUUUUGUAUCAAGUUAGUACUUGUUGUUUUAUUUUUGUAUCAAGUUAGUACCCUAUAAUUUUUAAACCACAUGAUACUAAAAUAAUAAAGCGCGAAACCACAGAGUACUAAAAUGAUAAAGUGCGAAAUCAUAGGGUACUAACUUAAUACACUUUAAACCACAAGGUACUAAAGUGAAAAAGUGCAAAAUCACAAAGUACUAACUUGAUACACUUUAAACCAUAGGGUACUAAAGUGAGAAAAAGUGAAACCACGAGGGAGGUAUUUGAAAAUUUAUAAGAAGAAAUUUGUAAUUUUGAAAUGUUUAUUUUUUAUUGUAUUUUUUAGAAAAUUGAGUA
rnacentral:lncRNA from 1 species